CAGCCAGCCCCUAGCGCAGACGGCGGAGAGCUGGGAUGGAGCGCGCCCUGGCCCGCUGGCCUUGGCCGCAGCUCCUCGGGAGAGCCGGGGCGCCCGCGCGAGAACCUCCCUACUUGGGUCUCUGUUCAAGGAUGACAUCAUCCGCUUGCCUCCCUGUCUUCAAGGACCACCUCUGGAUGCCAAGCUGAUGCCAAGGUGCUUGCUGCUCACCUCCACCUCAUGAGGAUGCUAGGAGCACGGAUUCCUGGAUGCCACCAGCAUACAAAGCGGCCACUGGCAGUGACCCCCGGGACCAGGACGACGAAGGAUGAAGAGGACCAGAACUGACCAGCUGUCCCUCUUGGCUAACGGCUUAAACCAAUGCCCUAGUGAGGGGGCAUUGGUCAUUAACGCCGGACCUUUGCUAUGCUUCUGCCUUGAUGCUAUCACUGCUUUUCUGUGUGUCUCUGCUUGUGUUAACAUGUCAGCGACCUGGAGGGUUUCCAACCCCAGGGAGGUGUCAGUCUUUCUCAGUCCACCCCGUUGUUACCCCCGUGAUGUUCUGAAUGGAAGAGUCCCUGUGGGAACUUCUCAGGAGGGGGACCUGGGCCAAGGGCUUGACCAGCAUCUCACUGGCGAUUCCAAGGCCCAGGGUGGGCUUCUGGAAUGAGCAUGUGUCCCAACGCCAUGCUACUGAACUGCCAAGGGCAUCCCCACCACCUCUGAGAUCACCCUGUCCUUUCUGGGGAACGGGGUUGAGAAGAGCAACCUCCCAGGGUGUUGUGAGUAUUGAAUGAAUCCAAGCAGCCUUGGGUAGGGCCAGGCAUAGAGGAGGCGGUCAACAAAUGUUUGUUGAAACAGUUUGGUUGGCCAGUCCGUCCCUACCCCUCUCACCUGUCUUACACCUCUUAUUUAUUCUCCCGCAGCGCUCCGGACAGCCCUAGUCCACGGGGCUCUCCCUGCACCAGGUGAGGAUGAAUUUGGCAUCGACUUGAGUAAUUCUAAAAGCUGGAGAGCGAGAAGACGUAUGUGAACAGAGCGCCCCUCCCUAGGGGACGGGACUGAGUCACAUUUACAGUGAGGUCGCUGAGGCUGGAGGAGCGUCGCUGCUGGCAAGAGAAGGGCCAAGCUUCUCGAAAGGGCUGUCUACACUUGCUGUCUUCCUUCCUCACCUCCAGUUUCCUCUCCAACCCACUGCUUCCUGACCUCUUCUACUCCGCUGAUCGGCUGUCACUAAGGUCAGCCCGUCCUCGACACCCUGGCGGCGACAGUCGGCUGAAGGACUGGAUGGAAGAGGCAGGAGAGUUGCCCUGGACCAGUGCUCCUUCAGGACGGUCACCUGGCAUCUCACGCCCACCUGGCGCCCCACGACGCCCUCCUGGUUUGGGCUGAAGCCGUCUCGAAUCCUCCGUGGGACAGGACCGUGGACACGCCACCCCAGUACCCUCCAGCUCCAAAAUCGGCAGACUAGGAUGGAAGUGGCCUAGCUGGGGGGCCCUUCAAAGGGCCAAGGAGAAAACGCGGGCCAAGAGACCAGCCUCUCAAACAGGCUUCGAGCUGCAAUGACCUUCACUUACCUUCCCCCCCUUGAAAUGUCUGGAAAACGGAAUGGACAGAUUUUCUGUCUUCAAAGUUUCCGGCUAAACCUCUUCAAGUUCUUUAUUGUUUGGGACUGAGACACUCAGCAAUGGUAAUGGGUAGUUCCUUUUGUAUUUGCCUUGAAAGGCCAAAAUAUUUCUAUAUGGCUACAGACAAAGCCGUCUGUUUUCAGAUGAACUCUAUGUCCGUCGUUUCCCACCGGGGAGAUCAUGUAUACCUUGUGUGUCUCUGUGCACUCUUGGGUCUUGAAACAGGUUUCUCAUGGGGAUGGCCAUUCACAGGGGUCCACGGGGAAGCACCUGCCCCACCAAGGGGGCCUGGGGACUCUGACCCUCAUCUGUGUAGGAUGUGACCCCCGGGGGGGCGGCGGGUGUUCUGGCUGCACUAACAUGUACUCUGCCUGUGCCUGCAUCCGCCAUGCAUACGUGUCAAGGACUGUGGGCUGUGCUCACCUUGGUGGUUCACUUGGUGGGAAGAAGCUGGAAGGUCAAAUAUACUGUGAAUGUUCUAUUGUUCUGGUUGGGAGGUCAUUUUGCUGGGCUCUGUUACCUAGUCCAAAUAAGUGAAUGGAUGAAUAAAUGAAUGAAGGCAUGAAAGAGUGAAGAAACUAAUAAAUAGGUAAAGAGGCGUACCCUGAAGGAGAUCCAAUUUGAUGCACAGGAGCUCGAUAGAUAAGUCAAUAAAGCAUUGAAUCAAUAUAUAAAUAGGGCCACGCAGGAACCGAUGUCAGGUCAUCGUGGACUAAGGGAACACGUGCAAUUCAAGUAUAUAGCGCCUAAAGUCCAUAAAAGAAUAAAGCCUAGAUGAAAGGAUGAAUAAGAAGUCGAGAUGCAUAAACCAGUGGUGAGGGUGAGAUUAUGCGGCCCAUCAAAGUGAAAAGAUGCAAGAGAAAGGGCACAAAUGAUUGAAAGGAAGAAGAAAAACGGAAAGACGCAAAAUAAUAGCUAAGCAGGAAGAUGACUUUUAAAAUUAGGGGGUGAGAAAAUAUAUAAGGAGGACUAUGUCAGGUUAUUAGAAGCCAAGCAUUAGGAUUAGUCCAGAUACGUGCUCCAGCCAUAGAAAAAAAAGAGAAACAACAGAGGAAGAGUUCAAAAGAUAGUUAAAACCGAAAAAGGACCCGGGGGACCAGAGAUGAGAGUUAACUUUAACCAAAUUUUUCUAACUCUGGGCACACAUAAAUAAAUAAACACUGAAAUGAAAGAAAGCCAAAAAAAAAAAAAAAAAGAAAAAAAAGGAGAAAGGAAA